rnacentral:rRNA from 1 species
UACGUAGGGACCGAGCGUUGUCCGGAUUCAUUGGGCGUAAAGAGCUCGUAGGCGGCUAUUCAAGUCGAACGUGAAAUCUCGGAGCUCAACUCCGAACUGCGUUCGAAUACUGGGUAGCUAGAGUCUGGUAGGGGGAUCUGGAAUUCCUGGUGUAGCGGUGGAAUGCGCAGAUAUCAGGAGGAACACCGGUGGCGAAGGCGGGAUCCUGGGCCUUACCGUGACGCUGAGGAGCGAAAGCGUGGGUAGCGAACAGG